rnacentral:sRNA from 1 species
UCAAAAUUUAGUUGCAUACUAUAUCUGCCUAUUGCUUUCGGAGAACCAGUAGAUGCAACAUUGUGCAAGCUUCCCCACAUUACCCUGCUAUGUGCCUCAACUCUGACAUGGAGGGAUCACUUAUUGGAGUGAAAGGAUAGUACAGUCUCCAUGAUGGUUUGUGCCUUCCAAAGA